AGGACGAACGCUGGCGGCGUGCUUAACACAUGCAAGUCGAACGGAAAGGCCCUGCUUUUGUGGGGUGCUCGAGUGGCGAACGGGUGAGUAACACGUGAGUAACCUGCCCUUGACUUUGGGAUAACUUCAGGAAACUGGGGCUAAUACCGGAUAGGAGCUCCUGCUGCAUGGUGGGGUUGGAAAGUUUCGGCGGCUGGGGAUGGACUCGCGGCUUAUCGAGCUUGGUUGGUGGGUAGUGGCUUACCAAGGCUUUGACGGGU
rnacentral:rRNA from 1 species